rnacentral:sRNA from 1 species
UAGAAGAACUAAAUAAACAAAUCGAUUGUGAUGAUCAAAUGUCUCAAUCAUCAGACUCGGCUCCACCAUCAGAAGUGAGCUCAGAUUUGGAGCUUGACACGGCUCUGGAUAUUCGUGAUGGAAUGACAAUGCCGCUGGUGGAUUUGAAAGAUGAAGUUAUUGAAGGAUGUGUUGAUCGAAUUCUUGAUGGAACUACUUUGACGUACGGAAUGGAUUUUUGUGGAUUUUAGUGUGGAUUUUGUGGAUUUAGUGGAUUUUUCAGUGUGCCUUUUUUUAGCUUGAAAAUUGAAUUUUUGGCCCAAAAUGUGCUCUUUUCAGCUCAAAAAUUGGAUUUUUGAGCUUAAAAUUGAAUUUAUUGGCAGAAAUUUGCCCCAAUUUUAGGCUUAAAAUAUAUACUUGAAGCUUAAAAUAUGCUUUUUUAAUCUUCAAAUGUUCAUUUUUGAGCUCAAAAUGUCCUUUUUUUAGCUUAAAAUGUGCAUUUUUAAGCCUAAAAUGUACAUUUUUUAAGCUCAAAAUGUGUCUUUUUAAAGCCUAAAGUGUGCUUUUUUAGCUUAAAAUUAGAUUUUUGAGCUUAAAAUGUGCUUUUUUAAGCUUAAAAUUUGCAAUUUUGAGCUUAAAAUGUGUCUUUUUAGGCUUAAAAUGUGCUCAAAUAAGGAAUUUCGUUGUGAAAAUCCACAAAAAAUGUUAAAAAAUUAGCUAAAAUCUCAAAUUUUCUCACUUUUUCCGUUUCCCAGAAGUGCAAAGUUGGUAACUUUUUACGAUUUACUUGUGAAAUUUGUGAAUUUUGCAAAAAAAUCAGCGCGCCGCAUAGAAAAAUAGGCGGAGCUUGAUUUCGCAACCCUGCGGCACGGUUUUUGCUCUAUUUUUUGGUGAUUUUUUUUUCUAUAAAAAAUGCUUUCAUUCGAAAAAAAAAGGAAAAUCACAAUUUUAUUGAAAAAAAAAUCACAAAAAGGUAGUGCAAAAAACCGUGCCGCAGGGUUGUGAAAUCACGCCCCGCCUAUUUUUCUGUGCGGCGCGCUGAUUUUUGCAAAAUUCACGAAUUUUAACAGUAAUUCGUAAAAAAAAUAAACAACUUUGGACUGCUGUGAAAUGGAAAAGUGGCAAAAUUUGAGAUUUUAGCUAAUUUUUGAACAUUUUUUGUGGAUUUUUACUACAAAAUUCGUUAAUUUGAGCACCUUUUUAAGCUUAGAAAAGCUCAUUUUAAGCUUAAAAAUGCACAUUUUGAGCUUAAAAAAUGUACAUUUUAAGCUUAAAAAAGUGCAUUUUAAGCUUAAAAAAUGUACAUUUUAAGCUUAAAAAAUGCACAUUUUAAGCUUUAAAAAAUGCACAUUUUAAGCUUAAAAAAGUGCAUUUUAAGCUUAAAAAAUGCACAUUUUAAGAUUAAAAAAUGCACAUUUUUAAGCUUUAAAAAAUGCACAUUUUAAGCUUUAAAAAAUGCACAUUUUAAGCUUAAAAAAUGUGCAUUUUAAGAUUAAAAAAUGCACAUUUUAAGCUUAAAAAAUGUGCAUUUUAAGAUUAAAAAAUGCACAUUUUUAAGCCCAAAAACCCAAUUUUUGAGCCUUACCCCUCUUCAAAUCAGAUUUCCCGCCAAAAAAUGUAAAAAAAACGCAAAUUUUUCCAGAACUUCCAAGUCAGAUAUGAUGAUUCAAUUCGUUCGAACAGCUCUGAUAACUCAUCCACAAUACGAUCGGCUUCUGCAGGCUUCGGUGCUCGACGAGAAUAUUAUAAGCUUCAUCAGAACAAAUGUCAAGUUUGCUGGCGCUUUUCUUGUCAGAAAUGCGCUCAGUGAGCAGGAUACGUGCCUCCUUUUUAAGAGGUUCGGAAUCUGAAGAAAAAAAUUCGGAAAAACCCCCGAUUUUUGGGCAUUUUUCGUGCGAAAAUGGCUAAAAAUUCGGUGUUUUCGAGGUUUUUUCAGUGAAUUUUUGCAAUUUUUCGCUGAAAAUUUGAAAAAAUGGCGGUUUUUUCCCCGAAAAACUAGGAAAAAGCACUAAAAAUCCACUUUAGAAGGGCUACUAAAAUGCCACUACUUUUACAAAAACUAGAAAAAAAACCCAAAAAAUGGGUAAAAAAUCACUGUAAAACCGUUAAAAAUGAUGUGUAAUUUUAGCCCUUAUAGUGAUUUUUUUUCUUUUUUUUUUGCCCUGAAAAAAGCGAAAUUUCAACAGAAAAUGGUAAAAAAUUGCUGUAAAAACCUAGAAAAUGCGAAUUUUUAAAGCAAUUUUUAUACAAAAAAUGAUGGAAAUCAUUGAAAAUUCAGGAAAUUCACAUUUUUUGACGAUUUCAUUUGAAAAUCCCCAAAAAUUCGCAUUAAAAAUGUACAAAACACACUAAAAAUGUACAAAAAAUGGCUAAAAAUUCCCAUUUCCGAGGGGAUUUCAGCGUUUUUUUAAAAUCAUUUUUCGCUUUCAUUCCCAGAAUUCCGAUUUUCGGUGAAAACGACCUAUUUUCCCGCGCGUUUUUCACCACCUUUUGAGAUUUUUUAGGGUUAAAAUGGCUAAAAAUUCACAUUUUCGAGAUAUUUUCACUGAUUUUUAGCCAAUUUUCCGUUAAAAAUUCGAUUUCGCCCUGAAAAUAUACAAAAAUUGGCUAAAAAUUCAUGCCUUCGAGGUUUUUUCCCCGUGAAUUUCAAUAAUUUUUUCGCUAAAAAUCCGAAAAAUGGCUGAAAUUUCACAUUUUUUGUGGUUUUUCCACUACAUUUCAACAUUUUUUUGCUAAAAAACUUUUUUUUCCAAGGGAAACUAGGAAAAAACAUUAAAAAUAAACUUAAAAACUGGUUUUUUUUUCCACUUUUAGUGUAUUUUUCCAUUUUUUUUUUACGGAAAGAGCGAAAUUUCAACAGAAAAUGGUUGAAAAUCCCUGGAAAAACCUAGAAAAUGGGAAUUUUGAGCAAUUUUUAAAGCGAAAAAUGACGAAAAAUCACUGGAAAUUAUUGAAAAUCAGUUUUUUUCGGCGAUUUUUGUUGAAAAUUCUGUAAAAAAAACCAAAAAUUCAGAUUUUCAAAGUUUUUUAGCCAAUUUUCCGUUAAAAAUUUACAAAAAUUGGCUGAAAUUUUUUUUUUCGAGGGACUUUCAGCGAUAUUUGAUCAUUUUCUUCUAGAAAAAGCUGUAAAAUAAUUCGAUUUUAAUUCCCAGAAUCCCGAUUUUCUGUGAAUAUGACCUAUUUUCCCGUGUUUUUCACCAAUUUUGGGCAUUUUUAGUGUCGCAAAAUGGCUAAAAAUUCACAUUUUCGAGGGUUUUUCCAGCGAGUUUUGACCAUUUUCUGUUGAAAUUUCGCUGCUUUUUUCAGAAAAAUUGGAAAAAAAAACACUAAAAUUGCACAAAAAGAGAUAAAAUCACACAUUUUCAAGGGUUUUACACAGGGAUUUUUGACCUAUUAUUGUGUGAAGGAAGUGAUAAGAUUUUGGAAUUAAAAAUCGAAUUUUACACCAUUUUCCAGAGGAAAAUGAUUGAAAAACGCUGGAAAAAACCUCGAAAAUGUACACUAACACUCAAAACACUAACACUGUAACACUAAAAAUGCCCGAAAUUGGAGGGAUUUUUUCAGCGAAAAAUUAUCAAAAUUCACACUGGAAAAUUCACCUCGAAAAUGCAAAUUUUUAGCCAUUUUUUGUGCUUUUUCAGUGUAAAAUCGAAUUUUUCAAACACAAAAUUGGCAAAAUUGGCUUAAAAAUUUUGGGGAUUUUUUUAUAAAAAAUUCCACAAAAAUCGUCAAAAAUCGCUGGAAAAACCUUGAAAAUGUGUCAACUUUCCGCCAUUUUUUGUGCAUUUUUAGUGUAAAAUCGAAUUUUUAACGCAAAAUUGGCUGAAAAAAAAAACGUUUUCAGUGUUUUUUCGUCAGUUUUUCUUUAAAAAAUUGCAAAAAAUGCUCAUUUUCGAGGUUUUUUCCAGCGAUUUUUGACGAUUUUUGUGGAAUUUUUUGUAAAAAAUCCCCAAAAUUUUAAAGCCAAUUUUGUGUUUGAAAAAUUCGAUUUUACACUGAAAAAGCACAAAAAAUGGCUAAAAAUUCACUUUUUCGAGGUAUUUUACUCUGAAAAAACUGUAAAAAUCUAAGAUUUUUUGCAGAUACAUGCGUCUCUGCGAAGGGGUCAAUUCAACUGUUCACUCACUGGAAACAGUGCUCAAACUCUCAAAAGAAUUCAUAGAACACGAUAAGCUUACUCAAGAGCAUCGAGAAGUUGUUCUGGCAUUUGUUCGUCACACGAUUAGGACUUGUGAGGGUGAUCGGACCGUUCGGCUUGUCGCAAUGCUUGUGAAGAAGUUGCUCCGCGAGCGGGUGCUUAAUGUUGAGGUCCGUAUUCUAUGAGGAAAUUGGAGUUUUUUCGGAAUUUCUGAGCAGCAGAUUUUUGAAAAAAAAACCCAAAAAAAAAAUGGUCCCCCAGAAAAACCAAAAAAAAAAAACCUUUUUUUCUGAAAUUUUCCAUUUUUCUGUGAAAAAUUCCAAUUUUUUCCUGAAAAUCUUGAAAAAUCUGGCAGUUUUUCCAUAAUUUUCUGAUGAAAAUCCGAUUUUUUUCCCUGAAAAUUGUGGAUUUUCUGAAUUUUAGGCAGUUUUUUUCAUACUUUUCUAGGACAAAUACGGAAUUUCUGAUUUUUAGCCAGUUUUUUCAUUAGUUUCGCCGAUUUUCUGAUAAAAAUUCGAAAUUUUUGCUCAAAAAUGCGAAUUUAAGUCUAAUUUUCUGAUAAAAAUUCGAAAAUUCUCAGAUUUCAACUGUUUUUUCUCGAAUUUUUGCACAGGUUUUGGGUAAUUUCUCUGAAAAAAUGAAGUUUUUCAUAAUAAUUUUCAUUUUUCUCGGAAAAAAAUCAAUUUUUUUCCAGAAAAAUCCAAUGUUUCCCUGAAAAUUGCAAAAAAUACAUUUUCUCCGAAAAUAUCAAUUUUUCCUGAACAUUUUAAUUUCACCUUUUUUUAAACUUUUUUUUUGCUGUAAAAUCCAAAAAUUAUUCUGAAAAUUUCAAUUUUACCUGAAACAAUUCAAUGUUUUUUUCGGAAAAUUUCAAUUUCUUCCUGAAAAUUUCAAUUUUUCUUCGGAAAAAUUCGGAAAUUUUCCUGAAAAACAAAACGUUCCUUAGAUAAUCCAAUUUUUUUUUCGCUAAAAAAUACAAAAAUUGAUCUAAAAAUUGAACUUUUCUCAGAAAAUUUCACUUUUUUUCUGAAAAAAAAAUCCAAUUUUUCCCAAAAGUUUCCAUUUCUUUCAGAAAAAUUCAUAUUUUCUCCGAAAAGUCCCAUUUUUCCUUUAAAAAAACCCCUACUUUUUGGUGAAAAAUCCACAAAUUAUUCUGAAAAUUCCAACAUUUCCAAUAAAACUUUAAAAAAAACCCCAAUUACCCCAACAUUUUCCCUGAAAAUUCCAAUUUUCCCUUAAAAUUUCCAUUUUCUUUUCAAAAAAAAAUGCAAUUUUUCUAACUUAAGAAAAAACCAAUUUUUUUUUCUGAAAAUUCCCAAAUUCCCAUUAAAAACCGAAUAACCCCCAAUUAUCCCUACUUCUUCCUUAAAAAACCAAAUUUUUUUUUGCUGAAAAAUCCAAAAUUGAUCUAAAAUUCUCAACUUUUCUCCGAAAAUUUCAGUAGUUUUUCUCGGAAAAAUUCAAUUUCUUUAUUAAAAAUUCUCUAACUUUUCUAACUAUAAGAAAAUUCCAACAUUUCCAAUAAAAUUUUCAAAAAAAAUCCCCAAUUACCGCCACUUUUUCCUUAAAAAAUCCAAUUUUUUCUAGAAAAAAUCCAAAUUUUCCUUUAAAAAAUCCAAUUUUUUCUAGAAAAAAUCCAAAUUUUCCUUUAAAAAAUCCAAUUUUUUCUAGAAAAAAUCCAAAUUUUCCUUUAAAAAAUCCAAUUUUUUCUAGAAAAAAUCCAAAUUUUCCUUUAAAAAAUCCAAUUUUUUCUAGAAAAAAUCCAAAUUUUCCUUUAAAAAAUCCAAUUUUUUCUAGAAAAAUCCAAAUUUUCCUUUAAAAAAUCCAAUUUUUUCUAGAAAAAAUCCAAAUUUUCCUUUAAAAAAUCCAAUUUUUUCUUGAAAAAAUCCAAAUUUUCCUUUAAAAAUCCAAUUUUUCCUUGAAAAUCCAAUUUUUUCUUGAAAAAAUCCAAUUUUUUUCCCUGAAAUUCCAAAAUUCCCAUUAAAAACCAAAAAAAUCCCCCAAUUACCCCCUAUCUAUUUUUUCCAGGACAUUGCCGCGGACGUGAAGCCAUUCACACUGAAAUACACUGAUAAUCGAGAGUGUACAGCACUCUAUCAAUCAAUGAUUAAUAUGCAAAAUGGUGGUGGUGGAGGAGGACAAGAGAAUAUGACUACAUCAACUACUACAACCACCACUACCACAAAAUCAAGCUCUCCAAACUCACUGAGCACCACCACAACGACGACUUCUCAUAAUCCGGGCGCAUCGGCCACCACCACAACCACUACGGUAGUGAAGACGUGUGGGCCGGCGACGUUUAAACAAACGUCGAGAAAAGUUGUGCUUCAGG